GCCGCGGUAAUACGUAGGGUGCGAGCGUUAAUCGGAAUUACUGGGCGUAAAGGGAGCGUAGGCGGACAGUUAAGUCAGAGGUGAAAGCCCAGGGCUCAACCUUGGAAUUGCCUUUGAUACUGGCUGUCUUGAGUAUGGGAGAGGUGUGUGGAACUCCGAGUGUAGAGGUGAAAUUCGUAGAUAUUCGGAAGAACACCAGUGGCGAAGGCGACACACUGGCCCAUUACUGACGCUGAGGCUCGAAAGCGUGGGGAGCAAACAG
rnacentral:rRNA from 1 species